GGAAGUGAAGACUAUUUAAGCAUCUGCAGCCGCACAUAAUGUUAAAAGUAAAUACAAAUGACAUGCCUGAGAGCUGACUAAGCAUUGGUGAGCUGUGAUAGGAGCAUUUGAAGACAUGCAGAAAGAAAAAGGAGAGACCCAGGUACGGGAUGCCUCUUUCCAAGGAUACAACCAUUUCCCUUCCAAGGAUACAACCAUUUCCUCCAAAUCAUACUGGCGCUUGCUUUAAAUUGGCUACAAGAUUCACAAUAGAGCAGAACAACUGGAAUUUUGGCAGCACAGAACUGCCAGAGCAAAGCGGAAGCUGAACACUCCCUGAAGGACCAUGACAAAAGAUGGAUUUAUCUGAUGGCAAAAUCUGACUCUUUUUUUUUGCAGGAAAGACUUCAAGUCCCAGCUUCCUUGCAAAUAGAAGCCAUUUACAAUUGUGUUACCUUUCGGCCCAGGAUUUCAUUACACUGGCUUGUUCUCAGCAUUGAGCAAUGAUUAAAAAACGCCCGUAAAAAUGUGA